rnacentral:rRNA from 1 species
GACGAACGCUGGCGGCGUGCCUAAUACAUGCAAGUCGUGCGGACCUUGUUGAAAGCUUGCUUUUAAAAGGUUAGCGGCGGACGGGUGAGUAACACGUGGGCAACCUGCCUGUAAGACUGGGAUAACGCCGGGAAACCGGGGCUAAUACCAGAUCGUUUUUUCCUCCGCAUGGAGGAAAAAGGAAAGGCGGCUUCGGCUGCCACUUACAGAUGGGCCCGCGGCGCAUUAGCUAGUUGGCGGGGUAAUGGCCCACCAAGGCCACGAUGCGUAGCCGACCUGAGAGGGUGAUCGGCCACAUUGGGACUGAGACACGGCCCAAACUCCUACGGGAGGCAGCAGUAGGGAAUCUUCCGCAAUGGACGAAAGUCUGACGGAGCAACGCCGCGUGAGUGAAGAAGGCCUUCGGGUCGUAAAACUCUGUUGCCGGGGAAGAACAAGUGCCGUUCGAACAGGGCGGCGCCUUGACGGUACCCGGCCAGAAAGCCACGGCUAACUACGUG